AAGAGCCCCGCGACAGACACAGAGCAGAGCCGGACUCCCAGACAGAAGCCCCCGGUCUCCAGUGCCGGGCCACGACCCAACAUGGCCGGUGAUUUGCGCACUCAGCUGGAGACACGUUGGGCUUCCUUUCCGGGGGAACGAGCUCUGACGUCUCCGGCUAAAGCCCACUGGAGAUGCAGACCCGCUAGUGCCACGGCCCCGUCUGUCUUCCCCCUGACCUCCUGCACCGGCGAAGUCACCACCUCCCAGGUCACCUUCGGCUGCCUGGCCAAAGGCUACUUCCCCGAGCCGGUCACCGUGACAUGGGACCCCAACGUCGGCUCCUCGGGCGUGAGGACCUAUCCCUCCGUGCUGCAACCUUCCAGCGGCCUCUACUCGCUCAGCAGCCAGGUCACCGUCCCGGCCAGCAGCUGGGAGUCUAACACCUAUCGAUGCACCGUACAGCACCAGCCCACCAGCUCCAGCAUCUCCAAGGAAAUCCCAAGUAGGAAAGAGCCCCCCAAACCCCCCAAGCUGGAAGUCUUCUAUUCCUGCACCGACUCAGGCGCCAUCCAGGCCGUGUGCUUGAUCUCCCACUUCAACAGUGCGGAUUUGACAGUGAAAUGGAUAGUGAAUUCCCGGACAAUAGAGGGUACCAUUGACCCUCCCACAAAGGACGCCGACGGCCAGACUUUCAGCACCCGCAGCAGUUUCACUCUGACCGAGUGGACGGAUGUCUCUCCCCUCGUCUGCGAGGUGUCCCAGUCGGGCGGCACCCCAAUGCAGGCCCAUGCCCUGAAGUGCAAAGAAAAAACAACGUCUCCCAGCAACAUCCAGGUCUUCCUGGUGCCCCCGUCUCCCACUGCCCUGUACGUGGCCCAGAGCCCCAUGCUCACCUGCCUGGUGGUCAACCUGCCUAGCGACUCCGGCCUCCAGGUGGUCUGGUCCCGGGAGAAGCCAGAGUCUGUUGUCCCUGAACCGCUGAACCUCAAUGAGCAGCUCAACAGCACCUUCACCGCCUCCAGCUCCAUGCCCAUCUUCACCCACGACUGGGAGGCUGGAGAGACCUUCACCUGCAAAGUGGAGCACUCGGGGCUGCCCUCACCCCUCAUCAAAUCGAUCUCCAAGAAGCCAGGCAGGAGCUCUGGCCCUGGCAUCUACCUCCUGCGCCCUCACAACGAUGAGCUGAGCAGCUCCGAAGACUCCAUCAGCCUCACCUGCCUGGUGCAGGGCUUCUUCCCCGAGGACAUCUCGGUGCAGUGGAUGAAGAACCACAAACCCAACGAGAGCUUGGAAUACAGCACCACCCAGCCCAUCAAGGACGGAGCCGGCGACUCAAACUUCUUCCUCUACAGCAAGCUGAAAAUCAGCAAGGCCAGCUGGAACACUGGGGACACCUACACCUGCAUGGUUAUCCACGAAGCCCUCUCACUGAAGUUCACCCAACGCAGCAUCAGCAAAGUCUCUGAGGUGAUCGUGUCAGGUGAGUUUUGCAGCGAGGACGGAGACGAGGAGCUGGACGGCCUCUGGUCCACCAUCUCGGUCUUCAUCACCCUCUUCCUCCUGAGCGUGUGCUACAGCGCCACCAUGACCCUGUUCAAGGUGAAGUGGCUUUUCUCUGCCAUGGUGCAGCUGAAGCAGACGAGUGGCCCCGAGUACAAGAACGUGAUCCAGCGCGUGGUGUAGGGGCCACUGCCCUCAUCCGCCUGGAGACAAGGGACUGGGACUCCCAGCUCCAUUGGUGACACUGCCCUGAGUCCCACACUGCCCCCCGCUAGCACUGUGCCCCUGGGAGAGCCCCCAGGGGGGAGACAGGACCUCACCCCACAUGGCCUAAUCAGCCCUCAGCCACUGGGGACGCUGCCCUGCUCAGAGCUUGGCUGAGACCGGACAACUCGUAUCAUGCAGGGAACCAGCGCCCCUAGCGAGGAAACAACCCCUCUCCCCCUUCCCACCCUCCUGAGCCCAACAGUCCCUGCUCUGGGCUGGAUCAG